GAGUUUCUGCGGCGUGAGGACGCCGAAAUGAGUGUCCUGUCUAUUUGAGCGUGCUCUCGAAGUUUCAAAAGUCUGCAUUCAGCGUUCUUAUACUGCCUUUCAUUUGGCAAAGGGGUUUCAAAAACCGGCCUCCAGUUAGAAAGUGUUUUUUCCGAGUUCUGCGGUUCCUGCUGCUUUGCGCUCCGACAAUCUCUUUUCCGAUCCACUCCAGCAACUCGAGGAGCGUUGGCAGGUUCUUCUCGACAAUGUGUGCUUUUCCUUGAACUUUAUUUUGAUACCCGUGGCUUGAUCUGUAGUGUACCCUUUGUAUACCGAUAUAUAUUAUUGUUAACCUGCAUGUUUCAUGUUGACUGUUGCUAUUGUAUGUGCUGCGGCUCCUGGUUUUCGGCGCUCCGACGAUCUCCGGCAAUUGAUUGACAAUGUGUGCUUUUCUUGUAUUUUAUUUUUGUUA